rnacentral:rRNA from 1 species
AUUGAACGCUGGCGGCAUGCCUUACACAUGCAAGUCGAACGGUAACAGGUCUUCGGAUGCUGACGAGUGGCGAACGGGUGAGUAAUACAUCGGGACGUGCCUAGUAGUGGGGGAUAACUACUCGAAAGAGUGGCUAAUACCGCAUGAGAUCUACGGAUGAAAGCAGGGGAGCGCAGGACCUUGUGCUACUAGAGCGGCCGAUGGCAGAUUAGGUAGUUGGUGGGAUAAAAGCUUACCAAGCCGACGAUCUGUAGCUGGUCUGAGAGGACGAUGAGCCACACUGGGACUGAGACACGGCCCAGACUCCUACGGGAGGCAGCAGUGGGGAAUUUUGGACAAUGGGCGCAAGCCUGAUCCAGCAAUGCCGCGUGCAGGAUGAAGGCCUUCGGGUUGUAAACUGCUUUUGUACGGAACGAAAAGCCCUGGGUUAAUACCCUGGGGUCAUGACGGUACCGUAAGAAUAAGCACCGGCUAACUACGUGCCAGCAGCCGCAGUAAGAC